CUUCCUCGUUGCUUUGAAGAAGUAUCUGGUAUCGUGACGGUCAGCGAAACUCUGCAUUUGGUGGGCAAAGUUGACCCACCAUUGAUUUUGGAUCCUUCGGAUCUCUCUCUGUGCUUCACUCUUGGCCGCCCGGUUUUCGGCAAACCAAUCGGGAUUUCUCCUCUUCUGGAUACCGAGGACCUCUUCCGCGGAUUCAGCGCGAUCUUCAGCCUAAGUCUUGAGGCUACCAGCCUGUGAUCGGACCAUCCGUCAUCCAUGGAGCGGAUUGCCCUCGUGACCAUGACGUCCGCUCGGUCGCAGAUGCGGUUGCCAACGCCUUCCUUCCCCAGAAUUCCUCCCCAAAGCUGAUGGUCCUGGCCCACCCGCGCGUUGAAAUCCCCCAGAACCAAGAGCUUAUCCCGGGGGUUGACGCGCAGGAUCAGGCCACGCAGCGCGGCAUAGAAGGACUCCAUCGCCUCCUCCGAGGCGUC